UACGUAGGGGGCAAGCGUUGUCCGGAAUUAUUGGGCGUAAAGAGCUCGUAGGCGGUUCGGUAAGUCGGGUGUGAAACCUCCAGGCUCAACCUGGAGACGCCACCCGAUACUGCUGUGACUAGAGUCCGGUAGGGGAGCGUGGAAUUCCUGGUGUAGCGGUGAAAUGCGCAGAUAUCAGGAGGAACACCAGCGGCGAAGGCGGCGCUCUGGGCCGGAACUGACGCUGAGGAGCGAAAGCGUGGGGAGCAAACAGG
rnacentral:rRNA from 1 species